AUAGAACAUUCUGCCCAGAGAGCACUAGGAAGACGUUUCUGGCCUGCUUGGCAGAGGCCAGGCCACCCUGUUUAUGACAAGCAAAUGUGGAUUUUUGCUUGAUAACCCUGAUUUCCCCUUUUCCCCAUGGUUUAUGUGUUGGGUAGAUGGGAACACUCUAAUUUGUCUUGGUUCCAAGCUGGAUUGACUCAACAAGAAGGCCUUUGAACACAUCUGUUGAGUCAUGCGCAGCAGGAGGCCGUUUGUGUUCUGAGGAUUGUCAAUCACAGAAAAGCUGAAAAAUACCAGACAGCAUAAUGGCACAGCAGCCAAACCAUGCCUGGACAUCUUCUGGUCACACAGGUCUGUCUGUGGAGCUGAGCUGUUUCUCAGAAAGCCAUUGGGGUUUUUUAAUAAGCUAGAAGAAACCAGGCUGGCCGUGGGUGACCCUCUCUGUCCUGGGAUUCCUGUACUGCUACUCCCAUGUGGGCAUUGCCUGGGCCCAGACCUACGCCAUGGACUAAUGCUAUUGGGCUCAGGCCAGUCUUUGCUGCUGGCCUUCAAGGCAGAUGGUGCUUCACCCUGACCUCUCACUGCAGGACAGUCUCUAAGGGAUUUGAUCUUCUCAUCUUCUGUUGAAUAUCCUCACUCCAAGACUGGAAGCUGGAGCUCUCAAAGAAAAUUCACAGCCAGACAGUCUACUGAUUUAGAGUCUCUGAGAUCUACUCCAACCCAUCAUUUUCCUAUUGAGUAAGCUGGGGUCCAGGGCAGUAGUGUGUCUUGUCCAGCUAUACAUGGUGACAUUUUGGUCUAGAACCUAGUCUUAUGAGCCCUUUGGAUUCUUUCUCCUUAACCAAGAAUAGAAUAUAGUGGACAUUUCUUGACUGAGACACAGACAUCCUGAUUAGUGAUAGCCUGUCUUCUGGUCAAUAUGUAUAAAAUAGUUGAGUGACAUUGAUGUUUGAGUGACCUCCUUCAUCACAUCCUUCAGGGUCUCCAGAAGCAGCACCAGGGUUUGAGCUUCAUGCUUCAGCCCCUCUGUAGGAAGGAGACCAAGCCCCAGCUGGCUUUUGAAUUACCUAGUCCAAGAAGAUGGUAACAGCCCUGUAGAAUUCUAAGGCAUCCAUACCCAAGGAGUCCUGUGAUUUGAGCCUCAGUAGGAUGAUCUACAUUUGGGUGCUUGUUUCUGAGAGUCGCAGAGAAGUAUAAUAUGGUAGUUCCUCUACGUGACAGCAAAUAGUUUCUUAAUAAAGAAGCAGAAUUUAGAAACCAUGGGAUAGUAUGUCCACAGAUGGGUGCUAUCAGGCUAGUUACUAGGAUGGUGUCCUGGGGUCUUAUCCAUUCUCUCCACACAAAAGUCAUCCUCCUCCUCAGUGAUUCAGGUUUAGUGGUUGAUGAUGUUUGGGUUUGAUUCAAAUGAAGCCUUUUCUGUCAUGUAGAUAAUCUACAUGUUUGUAGAAUGAUUUUGAAUAUGUUUGAAGAAAAUGUUUAAAAUCUAAAUAAACUCACAUACCUUGAUUAUUCACUCCUCUAAAAAGAUGCUGGAUAGGCUACCAAAGGCCCCAAGUGGUAGAUAAUUCAGAAUACUUCUGUUUGAAUUUGGAUUUUAUUCUUGGAGUGGGGAGGGGUAAAGGAAACUUAAAAUUUGAAUCCAUAAUAUAUCUAAUUACAGGAGAACUUACCACAUCUCAAGUACGUGAAUGAAGCUGUCAUUGAGUGAAAUGUUCACUUGGACCUAGUGCUGCCUCCUGUUUGUUACAUGGCAUGGCCCGUAUGUCUUGGCUGUGGUUAUGAACUCAUUGAGGCUUAAACUAAUGGAGUACAGGACCAUUUUGUUGACUGUCUUUCUUCAUAGCUUCUCUGCUUGGCAAAGAAAGGAGAGGGGGCCAGAUACUGACUAACUGGGGUGGUCACAUUAGGUGUUAACUAAAGCAAAAGACAGAGGCUAGAGGGGGGUAGGUAGAACUAGCACAGCAGCAGCCUCAGCAGCUGGCUUGGUAAAUGAGAGACAGACAGAGAGACAGAGGGGCAGACAGACAGAGACAUGGGGCCAGUGAUUGCAGGGUGCUCAGAAGUUUUAAGGAGGGAAUAGGGAAGGAGUGAACACCUAAGUGAACGCAGUAAACCUUCAUGGACUAACACUGAUUCACGAUUUGUGGCCAGCCAGAAGGAGUUUGGCUGUAGUUUACUUGGAAAGAAAGGGCUUGCUAAGAAAAAAAGGAGUAUAAAAAUGAUGAUAAGGAAGUGUCUAAUGUAUGUGUACAUAUAAAUGAUACAAAAGUUUUGAGCUCUUCCAGAUAUACCAUUUAUAUAAAAACAAAUAGCCUUAUAAAUUCAUUAAACUAUUUUGGAAGAGUUGGUGGAUAUAUUUGAAAAUAGUAAUGCUGAAUUUCUUUUAAACUAUUACAUGAUUCAUAAUGGUUCUUAGGAAUUAAUAAACGAUUACUGAGUUUAGCUCUGUAUUUCAGGCUGAUUAAUUAAUAUGUGGAUUAUACAGGACCAUUGUUGUGCUCAACCUCUUCCUACUCCCCAGCUGUAAUAUGACAAUGAUAAUCCUUCUCUCCUCAUGCAUAUUAACUGAAAUCUUGUGGUUGCUCUGAAUGAAAGACCUUGUGGUGCCUGGGCACACAGAGGAGUUCAGCCAAGGACACUGGACAUGUCAUCAGCCCUGGGCAACUUCAGGCAGAGUGUUGGGAGGUUCCAAGGUCAGUUCCAGCCCCAGGAUCCUCUGAUCCCAACUAGCUCUGCGGGCAAGCCCGAGAGCUCCAAGCACAAUCACCAAGACGCUACCCAAGGAGGGAAGCACGAUACCUGAAGGACAGCCAAACCUCAGUCAUGCUGAUUCUUGGGACCACACAGGAAGACUGAAAGGUAUUACUUUUUCAGAUUAAUUUGUUAUAGGUGUCAGCAGAAAACAUGUUGUCCUAUUAAAGACAACAGGCCUCAAGCAAAAAUAAAUCAGUAAUAAUCUAUAUAUUGGGAGAAUAGCAAUUUAGGGUGGGGGGUGGCUUCCCCUUACAGAAAUUGAGACUGCUAACUUGCUUAUUUAAAAUAGUAUGACCAGUGACUAAACAUAGUAAAUUAACCAUAAUAUAAUGAGUUUGGUUUUUAGCAGCUGUAUCACAAUAUAUCCAUAAAAUAGGGUUCUGUGUGGACAUGAGAAGCCAAAUUAUUGUGAUACUCUUGACCUUUUCAGCACAUUUUGAGAAACCCUCUCUGAGGCCUUUCUCAGGGAAACUGUUUUAUUUGAAAACAGAAAAACACUUCUUUUUGAAAUCAUUGUACUCCAUUUGGUACCCAAAACAUAGCAUUCAUUUCUUAGCUCUAUAUUACUGGUCCUUUUGACUAAUUACAAAAAUCAUAUUCACAGAGAUGUUUUGCAACAUUGAGGACAUCUAGAUAGAAUGCUUUAGGCCGGGUGUGGUGGCUCACACCUGUAAUCCCAGCGUUUUGGGAGGCUGAGGAAGGUAGAUCACUUGAGGUCAGGAGUUUGAGACCAGCCUAGGCAACAGAGUAAAACACUAUCCCAAAAAAAAAAAGAAAAGAAAUAAAGAUAGCUUUAAUAUUUUAUUAGUGAUGCUUUUGAAACAAACAUCAAUAACUUAGAAUUUUAAACAAUAUCACCCUUAAAUUAUUUUUAUAAUGCUUUUCUGCAGUGUGAUUAAAUCAUGGUUAAGGAAACAUUAAAAAUACUAUGUACACAUACUGUGAUCCUGUAAGAUCAAGCAGAGGCUUGUAGGUCACAUUCCUCAUCCCCUGAUUAAGUGAUACUGUCUAUAAUAAGAGAAGCACCAUGUUUGAAAUGUGGCCCACUGGAUGGUAAAUAAGAACUCGGGUUGGCAGUACUGAGGAGCCUUGCCAUGAGCAGGAAGCAAUACCUAUUACAAUAAUGGCAAAACUGAAACCAUGCCGGUGUAUGGGAUUAUUUCGAUGAGGGGCAAACUACCUUAAUAGCUUCUGAGACUAUCAAUGAAGUGUAAAGCACAGAUCAGAGCUCAUGUUGUAGACACCGAGUCAUUAAAAAAGACUGUUUGUCAUACUAUGUUUUAAAAGGUAGGGAUGCAUUAAUAUAUUUUAUACAAAUGUCAAUCUAAAUUGUUCAGAAUUAUAAAGUAUACUUCCAAGUGGGAGGUCAGCUUCAGGUAUCUCAGAUCAAUGUGUCAUAGUUUUCUGUGAUACCAGGCCCUGAAGUCAGUUUCUGUGCCCUUGUACAGCAGAUGCAGCUGUACUUUGAGAGACCACAGAGCCGCAUCCCUUCAUGUGUGUUCUCUCACUAUUUGGUACUCUGAUACAUAAUCUUGGUGAAUCUGGGACUUUAAAAUCUCAAAAAACUAUGAGUGCUGUCCAAAUAAGAGCUUCCCAAACUCCUGAAUAGAAUAUACCAUCCUUGUUCUGGCCUCUUAGGUCUGAACAGCCAAUUCAGUGACUUAAAAUUAAUGUAAGGCAAAAGCAAGUAUCAUGUAUAAAAUAGUUUAUUACCAUAAUAAAUAAAACUUUUUUUUACAAAUAUCAUUUGUGCUUGUUUAAAAACAUUGAGAAGGGAAUAUCAUCAAUGGAGGGGCCUGCACGUUUCUCUUAACGUUCCCAAGCCACAUAUACAGUGGUGUUCUUGGCAGCAUUCUCAGCUGACCACAAAAAUAGUAUCAGCUCAUUUACACUUUUGUUUAUUCAUGCUCAUUUGGACAAAGUGACAGAUGCAAAGGAAAAAGAAAAACCCAAUAAAGGAUUUGGCAGGACUCAAUCAAGAGUUUUAAUAUAAGGAGAAGUCCCAGAAUGAUGAACUGCUCAUGAGUAGAAGCGUCCUUGAGGUGUUGGCGAAAUGUUGGAUGUGGGCAGUCUCCAACUGAUGCACAAAUACAGCAUCGGAAUAUAAGAGAUACAUUCAUCAGGGGAGGGUGCAUCCUUCUUAACGUAAGACCAGUUUGUAUCCUGACACAAGAUCUGUGAACUUCUCAUUGAACUAAUGGGUCUGUCAGAUGAUUCGGAAGUCACAGAUAAAGAGACAAUGGCUGUAAGAAAAGUGUAAUGGCAGGCAGGGUGGCACCCACUGGUCUGGCACCUGCAGGGUAUUCAAGUCCAGUUCUAGAGGUUCGAGAAUAAGUCUGAUAUGCUCUCAUGAGAACGAAGUUUCACUUGAAUUUAAGCUGCAGAUAAAUUCACAUUGAUUCUUUUGAGCUGUAGGGGUGGAAAUUAAAACUUCUCAACAUAAACACCUUUGGUGAGAAAAUGUUUUUUUCUCUGAUGUUUGCAGUCAGUGCUGAGAGGAUCAUGAAGUCUCCUCCAGGUGGAGGGCACGGGAGCUGGUGAAGGUAAUUUUAAUUGAAGCGAGAGAGAAGGCAGUAUAUAGAGCAGUAACAAUGAUUUAGCAACAGAGGGGGGCUGUCUGGGGCUUCAAGUGUGCCCUCAGUGGCCUCCUCUUUAAGCAAUAGUAGGUGAUAAGGGAGAAGAGGGAAGGGGCGUUGGCAGCUCUAUCACAGCUGGAGUUCCAUUCAAGGGUCUUAAGGCUAAACGUCUUUAUUGCAAGACAUAGUACAAUCUAUUAAUCAAAUGCACAUCAGCAAUGUGCAGCUCCACCAGGGCUCUUAAGUUUCCCAGAGUAUGUAUGCAUGAGACGUAGUGGUCAGUGCAAUAAGGGGAAAUGAGGAUCCUCCUCUACCUAGUAUUCCUAAAGAAUUCACUUAGUCCUGAGGGCCUGGACAAAGAGUUUGACAGUUGGCAUACCUCUACCUUUUAUCUAAGGAUUUGGAGAGGAAGCUUGCUGGAUGGGAUGGGGUGGUAUAGUACAUUUUUACCACUGCCGAGCUCUCCACACUUCUAAAAGAGGAGGAUUCCAGGAAAGGGGCUGAUGUUUGGCCAACAGCAGCACACUGGAUUGAGGCUGAGGGUAAAACAGGCCCCCGGAACUGGAUCACAAGAAGAAAUCAAGUAAGAAAUGAAUUUCCAAAAGUUUGCUGGAAGGCUGCUAAAGGGGCUCAGGUUUUUAAACACUUGGGCCAUCCUGUAGCAUUAAUGUUGUAACCUUAUUAGCAUAAUGUAGCAUUGCAUUAAUUAAUGCAAGUAGUUGCAUUAACUGUACACUAGACAAUUUGGUUUCUUAACUAAAUGGUCCCCUUUGUCUCUGUCCUUUGGCUAUCUUGUCAUGUCCACUGGAGGAGCCCUUUGUAUGUAUAUGGGAUGGCAGCGCCCAUUGCUGGAGUCACUGCCCCCCAACCAAGAACAAACACACCAUCUCGUUGACCACCUCCGUUCUUAGAGUCAACCCUCACCCACCCUUCCAUCAGCCAGGGAGAGAAUGUCCAACCAGCAGCCAAGUGACAGGGACAGGACCUCCCUACUUCAAAGCAGCAUGUCAGGAUAUUCUCUGGGAAAUGGAGCUUCAAUAUGAAUGACAUUCAAAGAAAAUAAUUUUAUAGAGAUUAACAACCAGCACUUACUGGACAAUGAUGCCACAUACCAUGCCCCCUCUCCUCAAAAAGGAAAAACAUAUCCUGGGCAAAUCUGUUCUCUCUUGGCACACUUUUCCUGAAGUCUAAAUGUUCUGUCCCAUACCUACUAACUUUUUGUUUCCCUAAUCUCUCUUUAGCCACCAGAUAAUGGUUCAUACUGGAAGGGCCAGGUCAGUGGUGUCUGAAGCACAUGGUCCUGGCUCAGGAACCCAGAGUGGCAUCCCGGUGUGGGAAGGCAGUCAGCACAAGCAGCCUGCAGGCAAGUGCACAGCCCGGAAAGGAAGGGAGAAAGGUUUGGCUCAUUUACACAAUGUUUUUUCAGAGAAAACAAUUUACAGCAAAAAAAUCCCUCAAAUCCUAGGGAGGCUUAAAGGAGAAUAAUGAAGCCCAUGCACCCGCACAUGCACCCGUGACCCAAAGAUUAGCAGAUUCCUGCCGCAGGAGCCACCUUCCAGUCAUAAGCCCAGUUUGCAUUGAUUCAGGAGUGCAUUUCUGAAGCUAUGCUUCCCCCCAAAACAUGUCUGGACCUCAAAGCCUUACAGCAUCUUUGUCCCUCAUACCCAGAGGUCUGAGAGAGUUCAUGGACAUCCAUCUGCCUCAGGCGGAGCUGGAGGGCAGUGGCAGGGCCUCUUGACAACAGGCUGUGGAGUGCUGGACAAGGAGCCUCUCAUCAAGUCCCUGGAGAGCUUGGAGGCAACAAAUCUCCAGGAGCAGGUACUUUCUGAGGCUGGGUUUUGGGGUGAUUAGAGGCCUGCCCUGCCUUAAACGUGGUGGGUUCUAAACUUCAGAAGUAAGUUGAGGAACAUCCUUAAGCAAUCGCAAACUAGAAUGUUAUGUGGCAGCCAACAGAUGGGAUUCUAGAUAUUUUACGGCCUCUUACCCAAGGACUGGUUGGCAGCUUCUCAGGUGAAAGAGGCUGAAAGCCUCAUGGCUUUAUCUGGAGUCACAGACAGUUGUAACUCAGCCUUGGGAAAUUAGACUUCCUCUUCUCUGCAUGCUGCCAUCUGAGGCCAAAUCGAAUUAUGUCACAGCCUGGAGAAGUCAGGGGCAGCCCCUGGAAGCUUCAUGUGAGAAGCUACAUAUGAGGUUAGGGCACAUGGAGCAGGACUCCCCCCUGAGCUCCCAGGCCCUGGCUUCCCAGAGCCAACCCUGUGAGCCAGAGGUCAGCCUUGCCUUGCACAAUUGAGGGCCAAGCCCUGGGACUCGCCAUGAGCACUGGCAGGACUAAGGAGGUGUGGUGGGCAGGCUCGGACCAGAGGCUCUCAGAAACACUGAGUAUCUUUGGUAGGGCAUAGGUGCCAGGGAUGAGGUCACCUUCUAACACAGGCAAAGGCAAGCUCCUUUUGUGAGUCCACGUUGUCACCUGCACUCCUAAUUCCACUCCCUCCAAGCUGACUUUCAGAGCUGAACUUCUAACCUUGCUUGUCAAUAUUUGGGGUCCUGGCUUCUCUGUCUAAGACACAUGCCCAGGCCAACUUCACUGUGCCUGGAAGAGACUGUUCCCCUUUCCUUUCUCACAUGCCACUGAGAGAAGCCUAAGCACAGCAAUAACCUGACUCAGGUGACUACGAGGCCGUGGAGUGUCCUGGAGCAUCAUGGCCUAGGGACUCAGAUAGCCUAUAUGCAGCUCCGUGACUAUCACUGUGAGCUCAGACCUUCCCCGUGGCUCACAGCUCCAGGGCCACUUCUCUCCAUCACCUUACAGAGGUAGCUGGAAACUCACAGCUUUUCUCUUUCCAGCUCCUGAAAAGAGCACAACCAUGAUGCUGCAAUCGUCGUCCAUUUUCUCUUCAAAUCCGACUGACAUUAGUAGGACAGAGAGGCCGGCUUGAAAAUAAGGCCAAGCAUGGCUCCCAAGUGCCUAUAAUGACCCCAUGCAGUGAACAAAAUACAAACGGCUGAAGGGCAAUCCCAGCGAGAAUCAAAGUAUAAACAUAACACUUGCUACAGUUCUGAGGUUGUGUGUGUCUAUGUGUCUGCUUUGUUAAUAAAGCAACUCUGGGCUCAUGACCCUUCCUGCCGAUUCUCCAUACCCUGAGGAAUGCCACAGGAACACUUGGGAAGAGGCCAAGAAGGAACAGAAGCAAGGGAGCCUGGGUGUGAGGCCAGCAGCAUGCAGCAGGGCCAGAGGCUCAGCUGGGGACUCCGGAGCCCUCCCUGCCCACUGGCCCAGAGGAGCAAGCUAUGGGCUGCACCACAGAGAACCCCUGGCUCCUAAGGGCCCCUCUCCAGCUCUCACCCUUGCCUCACCUCCCUGGGGAAAGGAGACCUGAGGAUUCCCAGCUCCAAGUGUCUAUAGAAGGCAUGUGCCACCCCUGCAGCUGCUUUUCUGGCCUUAAUCAUGAGACAAAGUUUCCAGGCUCCACCUUCCUGUCCCUCAAGCUAGUGACAAAUGACAACUACAGGAAAACACGGCGAUGUCAGACACAGGCUGUGCAAGGACGGGAAUGCCGGGAAGUCCCUGGCCCACUCACUGCUGUCCGUGGUAGGGCGGGCUUGGCAAAGGAGCCCAGCAUGGUAUAUACAUGAGAGGUUCUCCGCACUUUCCCACCAGUCCCCAGGUGGCUGCUACUCUGUUUUGGUAGUUUUAAACUUUUACAAAUAUCAUGGUAGUAAAAAAUUAAAAAUCAAGGAAAAUACCCUUUAGACAGCAUGUCCCUUCUUCCAAAAUUGUGCAAAGACAGUUCAGAUGCAGCUGCCACCUUGCAGGGCAGAGCACACUACCCUUCCUGUAUCUUUUUCCAGAUAGAGAAAGGGCGUGCGCAUCUGCGCCACUGGCCCCACGUUUCCUGUCAGGAAAAGCCGACUUGAAAAGUGUUGGUCACGUGGACAUGUGUGGUCGGGGUGGUGGUGACAGCAGGGUUGGAGGUGUUUGACUUUUUUUUUUUUUUUUUUCUUAAUAGACCUCAGCUGGCUCCAAAAAUGUCUCUCUCUGAUUCUGGGGACUGUGGCCUCGAUAUUUCAAAUAGCUCCUGAGGCGACUGAGAGGAUCUUCUGGAGGUUAAUAUCCUGAGUAUCUCAGAGAGCUGUUUCUCAAUAUUGGUCAUUUUGGCGUUCAGGGCCUUGAUGUCCUCCUUCAGCUCAUGCCUCACCUCCAGGACCGUGGCCUGCAGUGUCUGCUCAGGGAUGGGGUAGAAAGAAUGCUUGACCUCUGCCAGGAUGGGACUCCGAUCCUGGGGGCUCCUGGCCUCACCCACGUUGUCCAGGCGCAAGUCGCUCUUGGUGAUGCCACUGUCACACGAGUCUGUCUUCUUCAGCGUGGCCUCGCCUGAUGCUUUUGUCCUCUCGGGAAGCGUCUCCAUUGACUCAGCCUUGGACACUUUGUUCCAGUCCUCGCCCUUCCCGCAAGCAUCUUUGAAGCGGGCCCAGCCUUUGCGUUUGGCACAGUCGCCCCCGCCUCCCUUGGGUCCCAGGCACUCGGACCCCGGCGCAUGCAGCUUUGCGUGGUCUGGCACCCCAGAGGUGGAGGCUGCCUGGAAGGACACGGGCGUGGCAGGACUCUCACGCACGGUGACCACGCUGGCCUUCACGAGGCUGUGGUUGGCGGAGGCAUGCUCUGUGAGGACAUUGCCCUUCUCCACAUCCAGGUCAUCCAGGUCCCGGCCCCCUCUCUCAGCUGCCAGCCUGGCCUCUUUCUGCUGUCGGAACCUCUGGAAGAGGCGCCGGACAGGGUGGUCUGGGGGCAAGAUCAGGGGGGCCUCAUUCUUCCGUUUCAUGCGCUCUUCCUCUUCACGUUUCACAUCGCUGAUCUUCCGGAACACAAUCUGCAGAGAGGAGAGAGAAUGACACGCCAUGUUAGCCACCUGCUGGCCGCAGCAGCCCAGCUCAGCCCCUCUGCCUAUCAUGGCCCUCUCCUUCCAGCCCACCUCGUGGGCUGGGGCUCACAGCCUGCAAGGCCUCACGAAGUUUUCUCAUGACUGACAUCACCCUCCUUUUCUUGACAGUGGCUUCCAGCUUUCCAACAGCUGGGAAUGGACUCCCGUGAUACUCCCUUCAGGAGGAAAAAAAAUCCCAUCAUUUUCCCUCCCCACAUGCCAGGAGGCUGAAGAAUCUGAAUAUUCUCUUCCCAGGAGACUAUCGCCAGCCACUGAGCUUGGACUCCCUUAAAUCUGUCCUUGUGUGCAAUUCAGAAUCUUCCGAUGAGCCCUUCAAAUAUCAUUUUUCUGGCUCCACUUCAGACGAACUCCAUUAGUAUCUCUGCACAAAAGUUUGAGUAUGUCUGGUCUAAACCACACUUCAGGGCAAGAAAGUUUAGCUGAGUCCCCAGGCAAGGCUACAGCUAAGGCUUCCAGUGCCACCCACAGAUCUGGACCCUAAGUGAAUGUGGCUGGCUGUGAAAGGCCUCCAGACGAAGAUGACACGAAAUUCACCCUACCUCCUCCAAGAGGCCCUGCCCUGAGUUCUCACCAGUAGAUUCUCAGGGCCCCCCCCAGACUGGUGGACAUGGGCAGGAGGUGGAUUGGACAUACCUUCUUUUGACAGACAAACUUCAGGCCUGAAAGACUCCCACAGACUCUCCUGUUCUUCUGUCUUCGGGAAGGUUCAAACUCAAGACAGGUAUAGCUGAUUGAAUUAUGACCCUCAAAAGACAUGUCCACCCAGAACCUCAGAAGGUGGCCUUAUUUGGAAUAAGGUUCUGUGCAGAUGUAAGUAAGGUGAGGAUCUCAGCAUGAGUGGGCUCUAGACCAGUGAUGAAUGUUGUUUUGAAAGCCGGGGCGAAGGCAGAACAAAAAGCAGGGCCGUGGGGAGAUGGAGGUAGAUACUGGAGUUCCGUAGGAUUGCUGACAGCACCCAGAAGCUCAGACAGGCCUGGAAUGAACCCUACACCAAAUCUCCAGAAGGAACCAUGCAGUAGAGAAGUUUAUUGCAGACUUCUGGCCUCCAGAACUGUGAGAAGCAAUUUCUGUUUUAAGCCACCAAGUCUGUGGUUGUUUGUAUGGCAGCCCUCAAACUAGAAUACAAGGUCUGCUUCACCACUUCCUCCUCCCUCCCUCCCCUCAGGGGGGGCCUGUCCACAGCCCUGCCCUGUGCUCUCAGGCCUCCACCAGCUGUUCUCCCUUCUGAUUCGGUAUUCACCCUCAUGCAGCUAAGGCCAGCACAGACACUGACAGGACGAUGGAUGCAAGUACCCACACCCACAGGGUGCUGGUUUCAGACCGGAGGAAAUGACUUGAUCUUUCAAAGCCUUAGUUGUCUUCUGUACAAAAUUCCUACUACUACUUCUUGUAGAGUUGCAAUGAAAUAACAUUUGGGAGAAGCCCCCCUCCCUUCAUAUUUAUAAACCAACGCUGCUUUUCCUUCUGGUCCCAGCUCUAAGCCUAAAUAUUCCCACUAGUUGUUCUUCGGCGUGGGUGAAGUAGCCAGUCAGGCCAGUAGGAAUCAGAACCCCACUUGGGUGAGUGGGAGGAGCAACUGAUGAGAGGGGCCAGGUAGAAGACUGUGACUAUCACUAGUGACAGAUAGGGAGGGGAUGGCCCAGGGAAGCAGAGGAGGAGGCAGAUAAAACACAACAGGUCUGCUUCUAGACACACACACCAGUUCCUGAUGCAAGAGAAACAAAGAUGAUCCACAAACGCUGAACCUCAACCUGUGGCCUCACCAGCACUAGGUCCCUGGGGGGUGUUUGCAGCCCUGUGGGUAUCCUUGGGAAACACAUGCUACUAACUCCUAUGGGGCUUUGGCUGCUGAUGUUGUCCCCCCUCCAGGUGCAAACCACAAGCCUUCCCUUAGCCCUUCCAGAGGCAGUUUCAGCAGCCUGCUUGCCUGCCUAUGUCUCCACUCCCAGAAGGUUCUACUCUGAUCCCUCAAAGGAGGACAAGUCUUACAGACUGGAGCUUUGAACCUCUUCCUACUUCCAUGAAAAGCUCCUUGAAGCAUGUGGCCCCACUGGGCAGCCCUCAGGAGUCCUCUCUGUCUUUGCCUCUUCACUCUGACAGUGCACAAUGGGCAAGCCUAGAGCCCCUGCCUUCCCCACAUCUAGCAGCACUUGCCAACCAGGAAGAAGGACAGAAUCACCUGGGGGACUUUUCCAAAUACACCUCUAGCCACCACGCCCCUUGUAUCCCUCCUUUCCCUUCAACCUCCACCUCUAUCUGAGAGCCAGUGCCCUAAGCCUAGAAUGAAGAUCAUGCCAGUAAAGACACACAGGGGGACAUGGGGUAAGAUUGCCAUAUAGGAUGUAUUUCAUAUUCAUGUUUAAAGGACAUACACACACGUGUGUGUGCUCAGCAAACAAGAUGCCCCUUCUCGGUGUCAGUGUACCAGCUACACACAUAGCCCCCUUCUACCAGCUACUCCCAGCCCUCUCUCUGGUUUUUUUCCCUUAGUUACUGACAGGUAUCCUAUCCUGAGGCACUGGAUCUGAAGCCAAAAACAGCUGAGUGGCAGUAGGAAGGGGCAGUAUUCCUAUCUGUGUUGCCUGAGCCCCCCCAUCUACAAGGCAUAUGCCCAAUGCCUGUUCCCCAGGUGGGGAAGAAACUCUCAGCCAGUGAGGGGUCUACAGUCCAUAAUUCCCAGGGAAUCCCCCUGGAGCUGGGCAGUCCCUAGUCCUAGGCCCCCUGGGAAAGCCUCUGUGUGGUGAUUUCACAGGACUUCAUAGCUCUGUACAUCCAUUCUUUGGCCAAAACUAAAUUUUUCACUGAGGUUUUAAGCCUCAGGUCCUUCUUAUGGAGAGACUACAUUCUCUCCAAAACUUCAUUCCACAAGAAAACAGCUCUGAUCAGCCAUUCUAACACUCUUUAUGCAGUGCCUACUGAAUACAGAACAAUGAAUGAAAUGUGUGAGAUGGUUGGUCCACAUUUAAAGAAAGCUAAGAUUCUUCCUCUCAGAAGCUGAUGAUCCAACAGCUUUCUGGGCCUGAGCUGAUCUGGGAAACAGCUGCAUUUUACAAAAGGACCAACUGAGAAUGAGAAAGGGAGGGGGGAUGGGACAGCGCCCAUACAGUGUUUGGAGUCUGGAUGGUGGUUCAGAGGGUGUUCUAGAGCAAUCCAGCCUCUCUUUAGAAUGCUGAGACUGAUUGAUGGAGUUGGCAGUGCUCUAUUCUUAGCCAUGGAUGGGGUCACCAGGCCCUGACGCCACUCUCCUAAUGAGAGGGGGCAGCGGAGAGUUCCUGAGCAGCUGCCACCAACUGCUCAAGUCCUUUCUCCAGCUUAGUCAUGACGGCAGCUCUGGGAGGUGCUCUGCUGAAUGUGCUUUCACGAGGAACUUUUCCACUAGUGGAGAGCAUUGCUGCCAGUUUACAGAUGUGAUGGUGACUCAGAAUGGUCACUGGUCAUUCACUUGAGUUCUUGGUAUGUAGUGCUGACAUCCAGCCGAGGUACCAGGUGCAUUUCAACAGGUCUGGUCCGAUGGUGAGCAAAGCUCACUCAGGGCAGACCGAGGUGGGGAGGGGUGCUGCUUCACCCAGAAGGUGCAUCUGACCAGCGAGUUGGAGGCUACCCCUCUGGCACUCCAGUCCAGAUACAGCACUUCCCCCAAAGCCUCAGCAAUACACAGAACGGGGGAUCUCUGCCAGUCAAGUGCCGGGAAUUACAAGCGUGGAGUUGAAUAAGAGCCUGUGGACUGAGCUAUGGCCCUCUAUCCCCCGUCCAGAGAGAGAGGGAGCUGUAAGCAGGAGCAGCUGGGUGGGCCCCUACCCCAUGACUGGGGGGAGACUGCCAGGUGUGGCUGGGCAGGUCCGUACCCUCCACCACAAACCCCAGAGGGCUGAAGCACUGUCUCUAGUGGGUUGCACAGCCAGUGCCACAGUCUGAGAUGAACCCUGAAUGAUCCAGCCCAGUGGAGAAAGGGCACAAACCAGCACUAGAGGGGUGGGACUGGGCUACAUGUUUUAACAAAAAACAUAGGAAACCUACGUAGCAACGGGAUGGCAUUCUUGACAACACAGCAGUACCUACAGGUCAGCAGAAGAGGCGGGCCUAAUCUCCCAGCAUAAACAAAAAAGACACAGGAAGCUUCCCUAGUAACCUGAAGGAGUCCCUAGAAACCCAGUAACCCCUCCAUAGGCAGACAAGCGACCUCAUCAAGCAGCUCCCUAACAUCACAGCCAGGUAAAUCCACAAAGAUGUGAAAAAACCAGCUUGAAAAAGAUGAAACCAUCAGAGACCAGAACACCUCUUCUCCUUCAAGGGAUCACAACCUGACCCAGGAGUGUGAUGAAUUGACAGACACAGGCUUCAGAAGGUGGAUAAUAAACUCUUUUGAGCUAAAGGAACACAUUCUAACUCAAUGCAAAGAAACAAAAAUCUUGAAAAAAGGUUAGACGAAAUGCUAACUAGAAUAAUCAGCUUAGAGAAGAACAUAAAUAAUAAGUUGAUGGAGUUUGAAAACACAGCACAAGGACUAUGUGAAGCAAACACAAGUUUUAAUAGCUGUAUCGAUUAAGCAGAAGAAAGGAUAUCAGAGACUGAAGAUCAACUCAAUGAAAUAAAAAGAGAAGGCAAGACAGAGAAAAAAGAGUGAAAAGAACAAAGCCUCCAAGAAACAUGGGAUUAUGUGAAAAGACCUAAUCUAUGUUUGAUUGGUGUACCUGAAUAUGAUGGGGAGAAUGAAUCCAAGCUGGAAAACAUGCUACAGGAUAUUAUCCAGGAGAACGUCCCAUGCCUGGCAAGGCAGUGUAAAUUUCAAAUCCAAGAAAUACAGAGAACUCCACAAAGAUAUUCCUCAAGAAGAGCAAUCCUAAGGCACAUAAUUGUCAGAUUCACCAGGGUUGAAAUGAAGGAAAAAAUGCUAAGCGCAGCCAGAUAGAAAGGUCAGGUCACCCACAGAAGGAAGCCAAUCAGACUCACAGCAGAUCUCUCGGCAGAAACCCUACAAGCCAGAAGAGAGUGGGGGCCAAUAUUCAACAUCCUUAAAGAAAAGAACUUUCAACCCAGAAUCUCAUAUCCAGCCAAACUAAGCUUUGUAAGUGAAGGAGAAAUAAAAUCCUUUAUGGACAAGCAAUUAUUGAGAGAUUUAGUCACCACCAGACCUGCCUUACAAGAGCUCCAGAAGGAACAGGUACCAGCCACUGCAAAAGCAAACUAGUUGGCAAAGACCAAAAAUGCAAUGAAGAAAAUGAGUCAACUAAUGCGAAAGAAAACCAGCCAGUAACAAAAUGGCAGGAUAAAAUUCACACAUAACAAUAGUAACAUUGAAUGUAAAUGGCCUAAAUGCCCCAAUGAAAAGACACAGACUGGCAAACUGGACAAAAAGUCAGAACCCCUUGGUGGGCUAUAUUCAGGAAACUCAUCUCACAUAUAAAGACACACAUAGACUCAAAAUAAAGGGAUGGAAGAAGAUUUACCAAGCAAAUGGAGAACAAUAAAAGCAGGGGUUGCAAUCCUAGUCUCUGAUAAAAUGGACUUCAAACCAACAAAGAUCAAAAGAGACAAGGACACUACGUAAUGGUAAAAGGAUCAAUCCAACAGAUAGUGCUAACUCUCCUAAAUAUAUAUGCCCCCAACACAGGAGCACCCAGAUACAUAAAGCAAGUUCUUAAUGACCUAAAAUGAGAUUUAGACUCCCACUCAAUAAUAAUGGGAGACUCCAACACUCCACUGUCAAUAUUAGACAGAUCAACAAGACAGAAAAUUAACAAGGAUAUCUAGGACUUGAAUGCAGAGCUGGACCAAGUGGACCUAAUAGACAUAUACAGAAUGCUCCACCCCAAAGCCACAGAAUAUAUAUUUUUCUCAGCUCCACAUUGCACUUACUCUAAAAUUGACCACAUCAUUGGAAGGAAAUCACUCCUCAGCAAAUGCAAAAGAAUAGAAAUCAUAACAAACAGUCUGUCAGACCACAGCACAAUCAGACUGGAACUCAGGAUCAAGAAACACACUCAAACCCACACAACCACUUGGAAACUGAACAACUUGCUUCUGAGUGUCAACUGGAUAAACAAUGAAAUGAAGGCAGCAAUAAAGGUGUUCUUCAAAACUUACUAGAAUCUCUGGGAUACCUUUAAAGCAGUGUUGAGAGGGAAAUUUAUAGCGAUAAAUGCCCACCAGAGAAGAGGAAAGAUCUAAAAUCAACACCCUAUCAUCAAAAUUGAAAGAGCUAGAGGAGCAAGAUAAAAAAAAUCUCAAAAGCUAGCAGAAGACAAGAAAUAACUAGGAUCAGAGCAGAACUGGAGGAGACAGAGACACAAAAAAACCUUCAAAAAAUCAAUAAAUCCAGGAGCUGGUAUUUUGAAAAGAUCAAUAAAAUAGACCGCUAGCCAGAUUAAUAAAAAAGAAAAGGGAGAAGAAUCAAAUAGAUGCAAUAAAAAACAAUAAAGGGGAUAUGACCACUGAUCCCACAGAAAUACAAACUACCAUCAGAGAUUACUAUAAACAGCUCUACUCACAUAAACCAGGAAGAAAUGGAUAAAUUCCUAGACACUUGUACUCUACCAAGUCUAAACCAGUAGGAAGUUGAAACCCUCAACAGACCAGUAAGAACGGCUGAAGUAGAGGCAGCAAUUAAUAGCAUACCAACCAAAAAAAUCCAGGUUGAGAUGGGUUCACAGCUGAAUUCCACCAGAUGUACAAAGAGAAGCUGGUUCCAUUCCUUCUGAAACUGUACCAAACAAUACAAAAGGAGGGAAUCCUCCCUAACUCAUUUCAUGAGACCAACAUCAUCCUGAUCCUGAAACCAGGCAGAGACUCAACUAAAAAAGAAUACUUCGGGCCAAUAUCCAUGAUGAACAUCGAUGCAAAAAUCUUCAAUAAAAUACUGGCAAACAGAUUGCAACAGCACAUCAAGAAGCUUAUCCAUCACGACCAAGUAGGCUUCAUCCCAGGGAUGCAAGGCUGGUUCAACAUACACAAAUCCAUAAAUGUAAUCCAUCACAUAAACGGAACCAAAGACAAAAACCACAUAAUGAUCUCAAUAGAUGCAGAGAAGGCCUUUGAUAAAAUUCAACAGCCCUUCAUGCUAAAAACUGUCAAUAAACUGGGUAUUGAUGGAAUGUAUCGUGAAAUGAUAAAAGCUAUAUAUGACAAACCUACAGCCAAUAUACUGAACGGGCAAAAGCUGGAAGAAUUCCCUUUGAAAUCUGGCACUAGACAAGGAUGCCCUCUCUCACCACUCCUAUUCAAUAUAGUAUUGGAAUUUCUAGCCGAGCAAUCAGGCAAGAAAAAGAAAUAAAGGGUAUUCAAUUAGGAAAGGAGGAAUUCAAACUGUAUCUAUUUGCAGAUGACAUGAUUGUAUAUCUAGAAGACCCCAUCGUCUCAGCCCAAAACCUUCUCAAACUGAUAAGCAACUUCAGCAAAGUCCCAGGAUACAAAAUCACUGUGCAGAAAUCAAAGCAUUCCUCUACACCAAUAACAGACAGAGAGCCAAAUCAAAAGUGAACUGCCAUUCAAAAUUGCUACAAAGAGAAUAAAAUACCUAGGAAUACAACUAACAAAGGAUGUAAAGGACCUCUUCAAGGAGAACUACAAACCACUGCUCAACGAAAUAAGAGAGGACACAGAUGGAGAAACAUUCCAUGCUCAUGGUUAGAAAGAAUCAAUAUUGUGAAAAUGGCCAUACUGCCCAAAGUAAUCUAUAGAUUCAACACUAUACCCAUCAAGCUACCAAUGACCUUCUUCACAGAACUGGAAAAAACCACUUUAAGCUUCGUAUGGAAUCACAAAAGAUCCUGCAGAGCCAAGACAAUCCUAACCAAAAAGAACAAAGCUGGAGGCAUCACACUGCCAGACUUCAAACUAUAGUACAAGACUACAGUAAUCAAAACAGCAUGGUACUGGUACCAAAACAGAGACAUAGACCAAUGGAACAGAACAGAGACGCCAGAAGAAACACCACACAUCUACAACCAACUGAUCUUUGACAAACCCGGUAAAAACAAGCAAUGGGGAAAGGACUCCAUGUUUAAUAAAUGGUGUGGGGAAAGCUAGCUAGCAAUGUGCAGAAAGCAGAAAUUGGACCCCUACCUGUCAUCUUACACUAAAAUUAACUCCAGAUGGAUCAAAGAUUUAAACAUAAAACCUAACACCAUAAAAACACUAAAAGAAAAUGUAGGCAAAACCAUCCAGGACACAGGCAUAGGCAAUGACUUCAUGAUUAAAACACCAAAAGGAAUGACAAUAAAAGCCAAGAUAGACAAAUGGGAUCUAAUUAAACUUCAGAGCUUCUGUACAGCAAAAGAAACCAUCAUUAGAGCAAAUUGGCAACCAACAGAAUGGGAAAAAUUUUUUGCAAUCUACCCAUCUGACAAAAGGCUAACAUCCAGAACCUACAAAGAACUAAAACAGAUAUACAGGAAAAAAACAAACCCAUUCAAAAGUGGGUGAAGGAUAUGAACAGACCCUUUUCAAAAGAAGACAUAUAUGAGACCAAGAAACAUAGGAAAAAAUGUUCAUCAUCACUGGUCAUUAGAGAAAUGCAAAUCAAAACUACACUGAGAUAUCAUUUCAUGCCAGUUAGAAUGGUGAUUAUUAAAAAAUCUAGAGACAACAGAUACUGGAGAGGAUGUGGAGAAAUAAGAACACUCUUACACAGUUGGUGGGAGUGUAAAUUAGUUCAAACACUGUGCAAGACAGUGUGGUAGUUUCUCAGGGAUCUAGAAAUAGAUAUUCCAUUUGACCCAGCAAUCCCAUUACUGGGUAUAUACCCAAAUAACUAUAAAUUGUUCUACUAUGAAGACACAUGCACACUUAUGUUCACUGUAGCCCUGUGUACAAUAGCAAAGACCUGGAACCAACCCAAAUGCCCAUCAAUGAUAGACUGGACAAAGAAAAUGUGGUACAUAUUCACCAUGGAAUACUAUGAAGCCAUAAAAAAUGAUGAGAUUAUGUCCUUUGUAGGGACUAGGAUGAAUCUGGAAACCAUCGUUCUGACAAAUGACACAAGAACAGAAAGCCAAAUACCAGAUGUUCUUACUCAUAGGUGGGUGUUGAACAACAAGAACAUGUGGACUCAGGGAGAGGAGCAUCAGACACUGGGGGCAGUUGGCAGGGGUGUGGGGGAUGGGGAGGGAGGGAAGGGUGGGGAGGGCUAACAUGGGGAGGAGUGCCAGAUAUAGUAUGCACCUAAAGUAAAAUAAAUAAAUUUUUAAAAAAUUAGUAUAGUUUCAGUUUGUUUUCCUGACUGGACCCUGACUGAUUGCAUGGGGGAGGGAAUUCAGGUUCAAGCCUAGCAGGGGGUAGGUGUUCCCAGUGAAACCUAGUGGGAGCUGAUAUCUUUCUCCCAAAGAAACUAGCAGCAUGAGAAGGAAGGACACUUGAAUUCCCACCUGGUAACCCAGUCCUCAUUUUACUGGGGGCACUGGCUAAUGUCACCCUUGCCACUGUCAAUCAAGGCUUUGAAUUUCUCUUGGGUUCCUUGGUUACCAGGACUUGGGGAGAGGGGCUUUUUCUUCCUUUCUACUCAGUCUAUUUUCCUCAUUCAGAGGAUCUGCUGUUCCUAAAGCUUUCAGAGAACAGCCUGUAUAGAGAUCUGUGCAGGGAAGGAGGAGGCAGAAUUUUAUCCAAGUCGAUCUUAGAAGUACUGUCUUUUGAUGAAUCAUCACCUGCCCAACUGUGGCCUUGGAUGAAACUGUAAUGCACAGCCAUCUACUGAGCAGGCUGAUGCUAAGCAUUUUACAUACCUCAUCUUUCAGCUAUCAACCACAUGCCUGUGAAAUUGAAACUAUUAUUACUCCUCUUUCAAAGUUGAAUUUCAGAUUUAGAGAGGUCCUUUGUGGAUGGUUUACGAGUCAGUGUGUGACCAGAACGCAAGUCUGCUGAUAUCCUAGCUUUGCCACCAGGUCUGGGAACCCACAGGCUCCAGAGCUUUACGGGCCUUGAGAAGAGAAGAAAUUCAUGCUUCUUGACUGGGGAAGCUUCCCUGGGAGUGUCACCAGAGCACUGGAGAGAGCUGAGCACCUGAGGGCAAAGAGAGUCUUCCUGCUGGACCCAAGAAACAUGGGCAGGAUACCUGCUUAUGCCAGGCUCUGAGCUUGUUCCAGGACAUGAACUGAACUUCCCUGAGGAUUAUGAUAAACGGUGACCAGUGUUGGUAACCCAGACUCCAUGCUGCCUCCCACAGGGGGACUGGGCUCCAGGCCUGGGGGUUGAGAGUUCAGCUUUUCCAUCAGGAGUAUUCAUUUAUCUUUCUGGCAGGCCUGCAAGAUGCUCUUGCCAAAUGGAGAGAUGGGAUGCAUUGAUUUCAAUCCCAGAUUACACACAGAGGUGCUCCUCUUUUCAAGGCCACAACACUAGUAAUUUGUCUCUCAAACUGCACAUUCACACAAAAUCCUUAGUCUGACCCGGCAGACUGUACACUCAUGCUGUUGCCACUCACUGCCAUGGCGGGUGUGGGAGGUUGUAUCCUUCUGGCCCAUGGCCAGGGCGCGGGGACUACUGGCUCCUCACUCGUGGAGCCCAGUCCCCAUGUGGAGCCUGGCCAUGCAGUUUGCCAAGGGCAAUAUGUCCGAGGCUCCUCUUCUGCUUCCAUCAGCCACACGUGCCCAGCAAUCCUUGUUGCUGGUACUGUAAUCCACAUCAAUGCAUCUGGGAAAGUGGCGGUUUAAUAUUCAUGAGCAGAUAAUGCAAAAUUAGGGGACUUGUGGUGCCUAUCAAGCAAUUGUACCAUCUCUCCUUCCUUUACUCUUAUUUUUUCACAUGCUAUCACUGUAGGUAUAUGGAUUGACAGUUUGUGGAUUGCUUUUCUCCUCUUCUGUCAAUAUAUACAAAUGGCAAAAGUCAGUCCUAAAUCCAAUAUAGAAUGGGAAGGCUGCUAUGUUCACUCAAGGAGUAACCUUUAGUAUUUCAGUUGACCUAGAGGUUGAAAGCAGUUAAGGAUCUGGACAGUUUAGCUUUCCCAUUCCACACCUAGAAGCUACUCAGCCCACAGACCUGAAGCAGGUAUGCCCAUCUUGGCUUCCUCCGUUAGGGAGGAAGCAGAAGGAGAAUAAACACUGCAGACUGGCCCCACCAGAUCAGUUCUGACCACGGUGGGCUGGUGCCUCCCAUAGCUCACCCCGUGGGAGAUCCCCAAGACCCAAGGGGUCUGGAGAAAGCAGAAGUGAGCUCCUGGUCCAGGGGAACAGGGCAUCUGAGAAGGACAAAGGCCUUAAGAGAAGAAUAGAUAGAGCAUAACCAGAUGAAGAGAAGGUAAAAGAGAAAGGGCAGAGAAGAAGGCACAGAGCCAGCAAAAUGACAGAGAAAUGAGCCUUUAUAUACAAGAAUCACAGAGGGAGGGGAGCCCCUUGUCACCUGAUAAUGAUGGUGGCUGCCAGAUGUGGGGCUGUCCUGUGCACUGGAUUCUGUUGUAAACACUUUACGUACAUUAUUUCCAUGAACUUGAACAACCACCCUAUGGUAGCCACUAUUGUAAUCCCAUUUCGGAAAGGAGGAAGCAGGGGGCAAGACUGUACACGGUAAGAGGCUGAACCCAGGCUUGCCACCUCCAGAGCCUGAGGGCACGGUGCCUGCCUGCUGUCCAGCCUGCAUCCCCCUGCGGAGGCCACGGGCAGCUGCCCCUUCCUCUUUGAUACUCACUAGGAGUAGAGAACCAGGACUCCCCACCUUUAUUUGAUAAUGAGACUCUCUUUCCUUUUCACCAUUGUCAUCUCCCAGCCUACUGUGCACCCAUAUAAAGUAAGCAUAUUUCUCCAGCUGGAUUUCUACCUCACACUCUCUGUCCCUGUGUUUUGGACCUUCCCCUCCCCAGGUAAAUCUCUCUUUGCUCCAUUCUUGUACCCACUGUAAAGAGAAGAGUAGGCAUGUGUGGUAAAUGAAACAUAAUGUACACAAAGCCCAUGGCAUCCCCAAUCCUCAAUAAAUGCGUGUCUGCAUCUCCCCACCCUGGACUGAAAGUUUUGCCUUCCUUGUACUGAGAAUGUGGCCCUCGCGUGUCACUGAUUCAAGAGGAGGGGCAGUCCUAUGCCAGGCCAAACGAGCUGUAUUUGGUCAAACCUGGGCACAGUGUGGACACAGACCUGUUCAGAGAAAGACUGGCAGAGGAAUACCUUUGUAGUAUGAGGACAACAAUGGCCAAGAGAGAGCCCAAGUCUGCCAAGGAGGAGCUUUGAGAAGCCAUCUUUGGUGCAGGAGUGGAAUCUCUCAGGCCUAGGUGGGUGGAUCCCCAGUCAGCAAGCACAGCCACUCAGCAUAAGCUAAGAACAGAGGGAACCAGAGAAGCUGGAUGGAAGGUGGCUGAAGAGCUUCACUGCCCACCAGUGGCAGGACCUACCUGUUCCUAUGAGCCCUCAACCCCCAGCUCCCAAUCCCACCCCAUCUCCAAUUUUCAGUGACAUUUCAAAAAUGUUUCACCAAUGGACCACAUUCUACACAUGACUUUUUCCUGGAGUAAAGAAAAAAUGAUUAAUAAAAAAGCUAGUUAACCAGAUGAGUAUAGCUGGCAGCUGGGUUACAAUUACUUACUUUAUGAAUGUGGACGCUGAGGCACCAAGGUGUUUGGCUAGUAAGUGGCAGGGCCAGCUAGAGUUUGAACCUAGGUACGAGCCCACAAACCCAAGCUUAUUUUGCCUUCCUCCUGACCAGCUACCAAAGACUCAGCCACCCAUCAGUGGCAACUCCCAGGGAUUAAAUUAAAUUGGCUGGGACAGCAAGAGCCAGAGAUGAUGGUCUCAGAUCCCCAUCCCAUCUCGGGAAGGAUCCUCUGUCCUGCCACAGCCCCUUGAAAAUCAGCCAAGUGAGGAAAGGACAAACCACCAGGCAAGCCAGGAAGUCAUGAGCCCCCAAAGCUGGUGUUCAAAAGACAUCUUUUUAUAUGUAAUGCUUGCAACAAGUAUACUCUCUUCCUGUACGUGGUGAGGAGGCCACCAGGAAUGACAAACACAGUGAGAGGCUCACAGAAGCAAGGAAUGAAACGCUGCUAUCUUCUUUGGUAUAGGGAGCAGAGACUUGACUGUCUGACACAACUCACAGGUUUCUGCCAAUUCCCAGCCGCAGAUAUGGGGUGUCCAAGCAAGCCUCACGCUCUCAUCUGGGCUCCUCUGGCCAGGAGCGUGAGGCCCGAGGCUGGGGUAUACAGCACACCAGGGUCCAAGAACUUGCUAACUCCUUCAAAGGUGCUCUGUGUGGGUUUCAACAGUGCUGCAGUCUGCUGCCUUUCUUCCCACCUUCCCCCUGCGUUCUCUUUGUCUUUCUCUUACUGAUUUGUCAUCUCUCUGUAUAUAUUUUAGGUCUUAAUUUGUUGCUAUUUACAUCUGUGGAAAAAAUCUUGUCCUAAUCCAGCAGUUGGCAAGCCGUUUCUGUAAAUGACCAGAUAGUAAAUAUUUUUGGCUUUGCAGGCUACUCAAUCCUGCCACUGUAGCACACAAACAGACAAAAUGGAAACAAAUGGGCACGGAUGUGUUCCAGCAGAGCUUCAUUUACAUAAGUCGGCGGUGGGCCAGGACUGGCUCAGGUUGUAGUUUGCUAACCACUGUCUUGGCCCACAGCUUGUCUUUUAAUCAUUUUUAUGGUCUUUUGUUGUCUCAAAGUUUUUCACUUUAAUAAUCACAUUUUUCUCUUUUCAUUUAUGAUUUGUACCUUUUAGUUUCUUUCUUUUUAUUCUUUUGGUAGAGGCAGGGGUCUCACUAUUUUGCCCAAGUUGAUCUUGAACUCCUAACCUUGAGCAAUCCUCUCACCUCAGCCUCAUAAAGUGCUGGGAUUGUAAUCCCAGGUCUCAGCCACCAUGCCUGGCUUGGUUUGUACUUUUGUAUAGAUCAGUCACUAUGUAGGUGAGGAUACUAAGGCCCAGAGAGGGAGAGUGGCUUACUAAGGUCAUAAAAUUUCUCUGUAGCAGAGCUUUCUUCUAAGAUUCUAAGGCACCAACUUGGGAUCAGACAGCCUUGGCUUUGAAUUUUGGCUGUUAUUUAUUAGCAAUGCUUGGGCAAGCUUUUUUUUUUUUUUAACCUUCAAUAUAAUCCUUUCUUCUCCCUGAAGUUAACCUUCCUUCUAUCUUUCUUUUAUUUGCCUUUUGUCCACAAACCUAUCACUAAUUUAUUUCACAUGUUCAAAUACCUCUAUCAUGUGCCCCCAAAAGUAUUUUCCAUGUUUCUAAAAACAUUAGUUCCAUGUUUCCCCCAUAGACAUCAUUUCUGAGGCCCUCUGUCCCCUUGGUCAAAUAUCAUCUGGCUGUUUUCCAGUGCUGAGAUCUCCCUCCACUGCUGACCUAUAACUAUUUUUUCUUAGUUUUCUACUCAUUUUGCUGGAGCACAUCCUCUAGUGGUUCUUCAGAAAAAAUGCCCCCAAAGCCACUGAAAUUCCUGCACUCUUAAAAUUAUUUUUUAUCCUCGCCCUUGUAUAAUAAUUUGUGGCAUGGAAUUCUUGGUGGAAAUUCAUUUUCUAUCAGAAUUUUCAAAGUAUUUGUUUAUUAGCUUCUAUAAGUCAACACUGUGAACUGGCUAGUCAUGUGCAGAAACCAGAAACUGGACCCCUUCCUGACACCUUACACUAAAAUUAACUCCAUAUGGAUUAAAGACUCAAACAUAAGACCUAACACCAUAAAAACACUAGAAGAAAACCUAGGCAAAACCAUCCAGGACAUAGGCCCAGGCAAGGACUUCAUGACUAAAACACCAAAAGCAAUGGCAACAAAAGCAAAAAUAGACAAAUGGGAUCUAACUAAACUCCAGAGCUUCUGCACAGCAAAAGAAACAGUCAUUAGAGUGAACUGGCAAUCAACAGAAUGGGAAAAAAUUUUUGCAGUCUACCCAUCUGACAAAGGGCUAAUAUCCAGAAUCUACAAAGAACUAAAACAGAUUUACAAGAAAAAAACAAACCCAUUCAAAAGUGGGUGAAGGAUAUGAACAGACACUUUUCAAAAGAAGACAUAUAUGAGACCAAGAAACAUAGGAAAAAAUGUCCAUCAUCACUGGUCAUUAGAGAAAUGCAAAUCAAAACUACAUUGAGAUACCAUCUCACGCCAGUUAGAAUGGCAAUCAUUAAAAAAUCCAGAGACAACAGAUGCUUGAGAGGAUGUGGAGAAAUAAGAACACUUUGACAGAGUUGGUGGGAGUGUAAAUUAGUUCAACCAUUGUGGAAGACAGUGUGGCAAUUCCUCAAGGACCUAGAAAUAGAAAUUCCAUUUGACCCAGCAAUCCCAUUAUUGGGUAUAUAUCCAAAGGAUUAUAAAUCGUUCUACUAUAAGGACACAUGCACAUGAAUGUUUAUUGUAGCACCGUUUACAAUAGCAAAGACCUGGAACCAACCCAAAUGCCCAUCAAUGAUAGACUGGACAGGGAAAAUGUGGCACAUAUACACCAUGGAAUACUAUGGAGCCAUAAAAAACGAUGAGUUCAUGUCCUUUGUAGGGACAUGGAUGAACCCGGAAACCAUCAUUCUCAGCAAAGUGACACAAGAACAGAAAAUCAAACACCACAUGUUCUCACUCAUAGGCAGGUGUUGAACAAUGAGAACACAUGGACACAGAUAGGGGAGCAUCACACACUGUGGUCUGUGUGGGGGGACCUA